rnacentral:snRNA from 1 species
CUUUGGCACUUGACAAAUAGUGAAAUUUGGAACAAUACAGAGAAGAAUAACAUGGCCCCUUACACAAGGAUGACACACAAAUUUGUGAAGUAUUCCAUAUAAUA